GAUGAACGCUGGCGGCGUGCCUAAUACAUGCAAGUCGAGCGAACGGACGAGAAGCUUGCUUCUCUGAUGUUAGCGGCGGACGGGUGAGUAACACGUGGAUAACCUACCUAUAAGACUGGGAUAACUUCGGGAGACCGGAGCUAAUACCGGAUAAUAUUUUGAACCGCAUGGUUCAAAAGUGAAAGACGGUCUUGCUGUCACCUAUAGAUGGAUCCGCGCUGCAUUAGCUAGUUGGUAAGGUAACGGCUUACCAAGGCAACGAUGCAUAGCCGACCUGAGAGGGUGAUCGGCCACACUGGAACUGAGACACGGUCCAGACUCCUACGGGAGGCAGCAGUAGGGAAUCUUCCGCAAUGGGCGAAAGCCUGACGGAGCAACGCCGCGUGAGUGAUGAAGGUCUUCGGAUCGUAAAACUCUGUUAUUAGGGAAGAACAUAUGUGUAAGUAACUGUGCACAUCUUGACGGUACCUAAUCAGAAAGCCACGGCUAACUACGUG
rnacentral:rRNA from 1 species